UGGGGAAUAUUGCACAAUGGGCGCAAGCCUGAUGCAGCGACGCCGCGUGAGGGAUGACGGCCUUCGGGUUGUAAACCUCUGUUAGCAUCGAAGAAGCGAAAGUGACGGUAGGUGCAGAGAAAGCGCCGGCUAACUACGUGCCAGCAGCCGCGGUAAUACGUAGGGCGCGAGCGUUGUCCGGAAUUAUUGGGCGUAAAGAGCUUGUAGGCGGUUGGUCGCGUCUGCUGUGAAAGGCUGGGGCUUAACCCUGGUUUUGCAGUGGGUACGGGCUAACUAGAGUGCAGUAGGGGAGACUGGAAUUCCUGGUGUAGCGGUGGAAUGCGCAGAUAUCAGGAGGAACACCGAUGGCGAAGGCAGGUCUCUGGGCUGUAACUGACGCUGAGAAGCGAAAGCAUGGGGAGCGAACAGGAUUAGAUACCCUGGUAGUCCAUGCCGUAAACGUUGGGCACUAGGUGUGGGGGACAUUCCACGUUUUCCGCGCCGUAGCUAACGCAUUAAGUGCCCCGCCUGGGGAGUACGGCCGCAAGGCUA
rnacentral:rRNA from 1 species